rnacentral:lncRNA from 1 species
AGAUAGUACAGAAUGAAUCUUGGAGGAAGGGUCCCUGCUGGGGCUCCAAGGGAACCACGUGUAGACAAGCACAACCUUCAGUUUCCUGACCU